rnacentral:rRNA from 1 species
GCUUAGAAGCAGCCAUCAUUUAAAGAAAGCGUAAUAGCUCACUGGUCGAGUCGGCCUGCGCGGAAGAUGUAACGGGGCUAAACCAUGCACCGAAGCUGCGGCAGCGACGCUUAUGCGUUGUUGGGUAGGGGAGCGUUCUGUAAGCCUGUGAAGGUGUGCUGUGAGGUAUGCUGGAGGUAUCAGAAGUGCGAAUGCUGACAUAAGUAACGAUAAAGCGGGUGAAAAGCCCGCUCGCCGGAAGACCAAGGGUUCCUGUCCAACGUUAAUCGGGGCAGGGUGAGUCGACCCCUAAGGCGAGGCCGAAAGGCGUAGUCGAUGGGAAACAGGUUAAUAUUCCUGUACUUGGUGUUACUGCGAAGGGGGGACGGAGAAGGCUAUGUUGGCCGGGCGACGGUUGUCCCGGUUUAAGCGUGUAGGCUGGUUUUCCAGGCAAAUCCGGAAAAUCAAGGCCGAGGCGUGAUGACGAGGCACUACGGUGCUGAAGCAACAAAUGCCCUGCUUCCAGGAAAAGCCUCUAAGCAUCAGGUAACAUCAAAUCGUACCCCAAACCGACACAGGUGGUCAGGUAGAGAAUACCAAGGCGCUUGAGAGAACUCGGGUGAAGGAACUAGGCAAAAUGGUGCCGUAACUUCGGGAGAAGGCACGCUGAUACGUAGGUGAAGCGACUUGCUCGUGGAGCUGAAAUCAGUCGAAGAUACCAGCUGGCUGCAACUGUUUAUUAAAAACACAGCACUGUGCAAACACGAAAGUGGACGUAUACGGUGUGACGCCUGCCCGGUGCCGGAAGGUUAAUUGAUGGGGUUAGCGCAAGCGAAGCUCUUGAUCGAAGCCCCGGUAAACGGCGGCCGUAACUAUAACGGUCCUAAGGUAGCGAAAUUCCUUGUCGGGUAAGUUCCGACCUGCACGAAUGGCGUAAUGAUGGCCAGGCUGUCUCCACCCGAGACUCAGUGAAAUUGAACUCGCUGUGAAGAUGCAGUGUACCCGCGGCAAGACGGAAAGACCCCGUGAACCUUUACUAUAGCUUGACACUGAACAUUGAGCCUUGAUGUGUAGGAUAGGUGGGAGGCUUUGAAGUGUGGACGCCAGUCUGCAUGGAGCCGACCUUGAAAUACCACCCUUUAAUGUUUGAUGUUCUAACGUGGACCCGUGAUCCGGGUUGCGGACAGUGUCUGGUGGGUAGUUUGACUGGGGCGGUCUCCUCCUAAAGAGUAACGGAGGAGCACGAAGGUUGGCUAAUCCUGGUCGGACAUCAGGAGGUUAGUGCAAUGGCAUAAGCCAGCUUGACUGCGAGCGUGACGGCGCGAGCAGGUGCGAAAGCAGGUCAUAGUGAUCCGGUGGUUCUGAAUGGAAGGGCCAUCGCUCAACGGAUAAAAGGUACUCCGGGGAUAACAGGCUGAUACCGCCCAAGAGUUCAUAUCGACGGCGGUGUUUGGCACCUCGAUGUCGGCUCAUCACAUCCUGGGGCUGAAGUAGGUCCCAAGGGUAUGGCUGUUCGCCAUUUAAAGUGGUACGCGAGCUGGGUUUAGAACGUCGUGAGACAGUUCGGUCCCUAUCUGCCGUGGGCGCUGGAGAACUGAGGGGGGCUGCUCCUAGUACGAGAGGACCGGAGUGGACGCAUCACUGGUGUUCGGGUUGUCAUGCCAAUGGCACUGCCCGGUAGCUAAAUGCGGAAGAGAUAAGUGCUGAAAGCAUCUAAGCACGAAACUUGCCCCGAGAUGAGUUCUCCCUGACCCUUUAAGGGUCCUGAAGGAACGUUGAAGACGACGACGUUGAUAGGCCGGGUGUGUAAGCGCAGCGAUGCGUUGAGCUAACCGGUACUAAUGAACCGUGAGGCUUAACCUUACAACGCCGAAG